rnacentral:RNase_P_RNA from 2 species
CAGGGAAGCCGGGCAAUCGCUCCCCGCCACCGGCGGGGGGAGGAAAGUCCGAACACUACUUCGGUAGCCGCUUAAGCGCCACUGAAAAAACGGUAGUGGGCAACUCCCAUCCGGAGCAACUCUGAUCGCAAGGUCGGAGCCAAACCGAGAGAUGCGAACAGAGACGGUUUUGCAAGAAAUUGUAAAACCGCCCAGUCGAAUGACUGGGCGAGCCUUGGUGGCAACACCGGGUAUGAAACGGCCAAACUCUUACCGGAGUGCAAGGUAUGAAACCGCUCCAUCCGAUUGGUAACAAUCGGAGCAGACAGAUGAUUGCCUAUCCCCCGCCACCGGCGGGGGUGGACAGAAUUCGGCUUACAGGCUUGCCUGGGAA